GCGUAGGUGGCUUUUUAAGUCAGGGGUGAAAGACGGUAGCUUAACUAUCGCAGUGCCUUUGAUACUGAAGAGCUUGAAUGAACUAGAGGUAGGCGGAAUGUGACAAGUAGCGGUGAAAUGCAUAGAUAUGUCACAGAACACCAAUUGCGAAGGCAGCUUACUAUGGUUAGAUUGACACUGAGGCACGAAAGCGUGGGGAUCAAACAGGAUUAGAUACCCUGGUAGUCCACGCCCUAAACGAUGAAUACUCGAUGUUGGCGAUAUACGGUCAGCGUCUAAGCGAAAGCGUUAAGUAUUCCACCUGGGGAGUACGCCCGCAAGGGUGAAACUCAAAGGAAUUGA
rnacentral:rRNA from 1 species